GAAAUGCGAUAAGUAAUGUGAAUUGCAGAAUUCAGUGAAUCAUCGAAUCUUUGAACGCACAUUGCGCCCGCCAGUAUUCUGGCGGGCAUGCCUGUUCAAGCGUCAUUUCAACCAUCAAGCCCCCGGCUUGUGUUGGGGACCUGCGGCUGCCCGCAGGCCCUGAAAAACAGUGGCGGGCUCGCUGUCACACCGAGCGUAGUAGCAUACAUUCUCGCUCAGGGCGUGCUGCGGGUUCCGGCCGUUAAACGACCUUCAUAACCCAAGGUUGACCUCGGAUCAGGUAGGAAGACCCGCUGAACUUAAGC
rnacentral:misc_RNA from 1 species